rnacentral:rRNA from 1 species
CCAGACUCCUACGGGAGGCAGCAGUGGGGAAUAUUGCACAAUGGGCGCAAGCCUGAUGCAGCGACGCCGCGUGGGGGAUGACGGCCUUCGGGUUGUAAACUCCUUUCGCAACUGACGAAGCUUUUUGUGACGGUAGGUUGAGAAGAAGCACCGGCUAACUACGUGCCAGCAGCCGCGGUAAUACGUAGGGUGCGAGCGUUGUCCGGAAUUACUGGGCGUAAAGAGCUCGUAGGUGGUUUGUCGCGUCGUGUGUGAAAUUCCGGGGCUUAACUUCGGGGUUGCAUACGAUACGGGCAUAACUUGAGUGCUGUAGGGGAGACUGGAAUUCCUGGUGUAGCGGUGAAAUGCGCAGAUAUCAGGAGGAACACCGAUGGCGAAGGCAGGUCUCUGGGCAGUAACUGACGCUGAGGAGCGAAAGCAUGGGGAGCGAACAGGAUUAGAUACCCUGGUAGUCCAUGCCGUAAACGGUGGGCGCUAGGUGUGAGGCCCUUCCACGGGUUUCGUGCCGUAGCUAACGCAUUAAGCGCCCCGCCUGGGGAGUACGGCCGCAAGGCUAAAACUCAAAGGAAUUGACGGGGGCCCGCACAAG